rnacentral:rRNA from 1 species
AUACGGAGGGUGCGAGCGUUGUUCGGAAUUAUUGGGCGUAAAGAGCAUGUAGGCGGUCUGUUAAGUCUGGUGUGAAAGCCCGGGGCUCAACCCCGGAAGUGCAUUGGAUACUGGCAGACUUGAGUAUGGGAGAGGAAAGCGGAAUUCCGAGUGUAGGAGUGAAAUCCGUAGAUAUUCGGAGGAACACCAGUGGCGAAGGCGGCUUUCUGGACCAAUACUGACGCUGAGAUGCGAAAGCGUGGGGAGCAAACAGGAGUAGAUACCCUAGUAGUCC